rnacentral:ncRNA from 1 species
ACUGGGAAAGGGCAAACCGCCUGAAAAGACGGGACGCAAAGUUACUGGCCUAAGUCUUUUUGUUAGGGGGAUAGGGUGGCAGAACUGCCGAA